rnacentral:lncRNA from 1 species
ACCAUGCAAGUAUUACACAAUUUAUUCUUUUUUUUUUAGACAAUUAUUUAUAUUUCUUCUAUUCUAAUAGACAAUCUGACAAUGAAAAUGGUUUUGCUGUCUCUAAUGCGAUAGUAACGGAAGUAACCUUUUAUUAUGUCCAAAUGCUCGAGUCUGAAAAAUUACGUAAAAUCAGCGGAUUGUGUGACGUAACGAAGAAACGCAAAACAAAACGAAUAUCACGAAGUUUAUCCUUUAACAAUGAAUCAUCUUUUAUAUUUUUUUUCUUUCUUUCGUCAGGCCACAAUAUUUCCGGUAAGUAUCAAACAUUCUUAAAUUUCCAUUUUGUGUUGACAAAUAGAAUCCUUUUGAUUUCGAUCUCCAAGAGAUCUCGUAUAGGAACAAGGAAGGUCGAAAAAGAAAGGCUAUUUCCUUGGGAAGCAGUUGAUCAUAUCUCGAAUGAGAUUUCUACACGAUGAAUACGAUCGAAACAAUAAUUAAUGAUUUGCAAAUCGAUCAUGAUUUAAACUUACAGAUUGCGAAUUUAUUCGUAUUAUUUGACGAAUUUUUUUGACGUAUUAUUGAUAUUCAUGUUACAUUGUCAUUGAUUUCAAUAAAAUAGAUUUAUCAUUUCAAUUUCUAUAUUGAAAUUAAUGUGAUAAUAAUUCAAUGAUUCGAUGCAUUCUAUUUCCCAAGUACAAGGCCAUUGGAAUUCAAAGAAUUACAUCUUCUUUUCGCAUCUUGGAAUCUUUGCAUGAUAAUAUUCGUAACGGAACACGUGGUUGUUAAAAAGCGUCUCAUGAAGCGGAGUCAGAACAACCAAAAGCGGCGUACAAAGGAUGAGGAAAGAAGCGGUUGAACCUUUUAUCAACUCCAGAUCGUUGUCCAUGAACCUCGGAGUGCUGUUUCUUGUGAAAAAGAAACCUGUUAGUCUAUUUACUUCUGAAACUUCCUUCUCUUCAAUUCGAGCUCUAUAAUCAGAAAAUAUCGUCAAACCAGAGUAACUUCUAAGCCCGAGUAAUUCUUGUGAUGCAGCAUGCAUCCACGAGACGUGAUGAAAAUUAAGAAGAAAAAAGACGAACGAGGAUUGCGUGUAUCAUUUGCGUAAAUUUCGCAACGAUGCUAUUAUACCGUCUCGCGUUGCAAAAAGAAUCUUAAAAGGAGGAUAGUAAUUAAUUGUUAGAGUUAUCCAAUGCAUUCUGAAUUAAUACUAAUUAAUUUUUUUUUUUCAGAGAGAUGAUUGUCCAUUUAUGAAAAAUGCAAAUAUUCUUUACAAAAAAUUUAUAUAGGAUAUAAAUUGAUGAAAAAGAUUAUUCUUACGUUAAAAAACAAUACUUUAGAUUGUAAUUUUCCUUGUGGUAAAAGCAACAAACUUGUGCAACCCUAAAGCGAAGAACGUCAAGCGAAGAAAUCGUUCCUAGGAAGUUGAGGACAUCAUGGAGAUCCAACGGAACAACAUUUAGCGAGGACAUUACAACGUGUUUCAUUAUUUUUCAAGGAGCCAAAGUCGUCGAUUCUCUGUUCUCUCUCUUUAUCUCUUUCGCUCUUUAGCUGUUCAUGUUUCUCUAUGGAAACGAUGCCCGAAGCACGUUUUACUUGGUUAACGACCCUUUCGUGCCAGCGAAUAAAUUCCAACUGCCCACGUAGACUACUAUAUUUAUUGAGUCUCUGGGAUCGAUGUUAAAGAGGGGCAUAAAGUAGUCAAAGAUCAAGUUCAAGAGCGACAGAUCGGCGAUCAGAUUACGAAAAAGGUAAGAAGAAAUCUUCUCGAAGAUAGCUCUUCUCUGGGCCAAGGACUUUUUCAAAAAUUUGCAUCCGUCUAAUUUAUGUUUCUUUAUCUUCGAUCUAAAUGCUCCUUAUGAAAUCGGUUUUUUUAGAUCGUAAACAAUUCAACAACUCUUUACCACAUAAUUUCUUUUUCAGACAUAUAAUUAGUCGUUGAUUGGAUUGUUCUGACGAGAUCAAGAUGACAUAAAUAACGUCGAGUGUGCUACUGUAGGUUGAAUUAAAAAAUUCUAGAUGAAGAUAGACAAAUUUUUAUAUUUAUAGACUAAAAAGCCAAAUUUGUCAGCGUGAAAAAUUAUCCUCGAAUUUAUGAAAGAUAUCAAAUAUCAAAAGAUUUGAAAGUAAAACUCAAUGAAAAAGUAACUGGCAACACAGAGGAGGCUGAAUUUACCGGUUAACUGUAUCUGAAUCAUAAAGUCGGCUGCUACGAGAAUCAAAAGAUUCGAAUGAAAGUUUGAAGAAUUUCCUUAUUUGACCUUAUACGAGGAUUUUUAAAAUUGACGAAAGAUAAUUGAAAUAUGUUGUUUUGAAUUAAAUUUUUUCAGGUUAAUUAGAUUUUAUAUUAAUUUUUUAAAGUAAGAGUAAACAUUUCGUAAUUUUUAAGAGAUUAAUUAGGUAAGAAUUAUUUAUUUUGACUUUAUUUGGGUUCUACUAUGUCAUAAAAUUAAUUAGCUCUGACUAGACGGUAUUUAACAAAAGAUUAAGAUUAAAAUGAAAAAUGUGAGACUUUUACCAUAUCGCAUAUUAUCAAUUGUAUCUUCUUUAGAAAAAUAUCAAUAUAUUACAAACAAUGCAAAUAAUGCAGAUUAAAUGUGCAUUAAAUGA